UCUUAUUUCAUUAUUACUCCAUUGCUAAGUUUCACAGUGCUAAAAAAAAAAGAGAAAAGUAACAGAUGGGCUAUCUAGUAAACUUUCAGUCAGAGGUCUGAUUUCCUUUUGCAUUCUUUGUGUUUGAGUUGAUAUAACUUCCCAGAUUCCAAACAGAGCUCUACACUUAAGUUUCAAUGUUAAAUUGAAGUAAUACUCUUGCAGUGAGGCCACAGUUUUGUUUCAGAUUAAAACAAAAGUUCUGAGUAUGCCUCAAAUGUACUUCCAGAGAGGCAUCUGAAGGAACUAGAAUAAAUGACAAUGGACCCUUCUGUGAAAUAAAUUAUAGACUAGAAUGAGGAGGCAAGGGCUUCAGAAGUCUAGCUUGGCAUCAUAGACAGCACACAAAUUUUUGCAGUUAAUUCCUUUCUUUAUAGCUAUUACAAUUUUCUUUUGAUGUUACUCAGCAGGGGGAGGUCCCUUGGCAUUGUUACUCCUAGCUUCUGAGAUUUGACAGGGAGUAACCACUGAUGAUUUGACAACUUGGGGUAAAAAUAUUUGGUAAAAAUAUUCAGUAGUCUCCAUACUGGCCAGUAUUUCACAAGAGAGGGGCAGAUGAAGGACGAGGUAGAGUCUUGAUUUUAAUUGACGGUGUGUAUAAAUGAUUGGAGCUGAUGGUACCAGUAACGAGACCAUCAGACAAGAAGAUCUUAAAUUUCACUGAGCUAUUUUAGCAAUAAUAGGCCAUAAUUAUGCUUUUUGCAAGUUUAUUUUGAGAUAACAGUGAAUCAAAUAUGAGUUACAGUAAACCAAAGCAUAAGGCUUUUGGCAUUGACUUCCCGCUUCAAUUCCAGAACACAAACUUUCACUUAAAAUGGAAUACAAGGGGAGCCGAUCAAGCUAACAGAUGCCAACACUUUCUUGUGCAUGGAUUUUACCUUCCAAGUUGCAUCAUCUCCUUCCAAAGUGCAUUGUAUGUCAGUAGUCAUAUGUGAGAUUCUCUCUGAACUAUGCCACAUUGUGCCAGUUGCAGAAACCAAUUGAUGCAGUCUGAAUGGCGGGGUAUGUAUGCUGAUGCAAACUGCUUUCCCCUGCUGACUGUUUCUGAUAGGGGGAUUGAUCCACUUUGUGAUCUUUUUCAAAACACUUCUUCCUAACUUCACCGUUUGUAGCUGAUUACACUUGCAUCCACUAUUUGUCUCUCCUAUUUAAGCAAACAAAGAAAACAAUGAAAAAAAAUGAAAAAGUACUGUGUUUGGUAUCUAUGCAUGAGCAGGAGGUCUUGAUUUAUUUGCUCUCUUGUUUGCAUAGCUCUAACGAUGGUUAUUUAACUAGAUUAUUUAUUAUUCAUAGACCUCUGUAAACACUGGCCGUGCGUGCUGUCAGUAUGUUUGCAGUUCCGCACAUGCAGCAGCGGGUUCUGACUUUUUCAGAAAACAUUUUGUAGUCACUUUAUUACCAAAUUAACAUCUUACUGACUAAGGAAUAAAUUUGAAAUCUUGACCCCA
rnacentral:lncRNA from 1 species